AUUAUUCAAUAUUAAAGAAUAUAAUUUUGGAAAUUCAUCAUUUCUUUCUUUUAAAAAAGCAUAUCGAGCCUCUCAUAAAAAAAACCUUACUCCGUAGAAGACAAAGUUUAAAGAACCUUCAAGAACUGGCCAAUUAAAUUGCGAUUCGCAAAUUAACUUUGGUAAUUAUGAGUGCUUCUAGAGAGCAGUGCGGUGAGGAAGGGUUGGUGGAGAGUUGGGAUUACAAACGAGACGGCGGGCUUGGCAACUUUUCAGUCGCUUUUUAUACAACUUUUCUUGUUAAGAUCGUGAUUAUGAAUUUUCUAUUUGAUCACCCUUCACAAGCACUUAUGACAUAUUUAUUUUCACGAUUGAUCGCGUUUAUGAAAACUAUGUGCAAAUUUGCAAUUAACUAAAAUGCGACAAGAUCCUAGAGAAAUAU